AUUGAACGCUGGCGGCAUGCCUAACACAUGCAAGUCGAACGAGUGGCGGACGGGUGAGUAAUGUCUGGGAAACUGCCCGAUGGAGGGGGAUAACUACUGGAAACGGUAGCUAAUACCGCAUACCAUCGGAUGUGCCCAGAUGGGAUUAGCUAGUCGGUGGGGUAACGGCUCACCUAGGCGACGAUCCCUAGCUGGUCUGAGAGGAUGACCAGCCACACUGGAACUGAGACACGGUCCAGAAUCCUACGGGAGGCAGCAGUGGGGAAUAUUGCACAAUGGGCGAAAGCCUGAUGCAGCCAUGCCGCGUGUAUGAAGAAGGCCUUCGGGUUGUAAAGUACUUUCAGCGGGGAGGCGUUACUCGCAGAAGAAGCACCGGCUAACUCCGUGCCAGCAGCCGCGGUAAUUC
rnacentral:rRNA from 1 species